UCAUUAAAGAGUUCUAUAACUCCCAAACCCAUGUGAACAUACCUAACGUUGCCUCGGCAGGUCGCACCUACCUUGUAGCACCCUACCCUGUAGGGCCUACCCGGGAGGUGCGGGUAAGCCUGCCGGCGGCCCACCAAACUCUGUUUGAUAUUGAAUUCUGAACCUAUAACUAAAUAAGUUAAAACUUUCAACAACGGAUCUCUUGGUUCUGGCAUCGAUGAAGAACGCAGCGAAAUGCGAUAAGUAAUGUGAAUUGCAGAAUUCAGUGAAUCAUCGAAUCUUUGAACGCAUAUUGCGCCCAUUAGUAUUCUAGUGGGCAGGACCGUUCGAGCGUCAUUUCAACCCUUAAGCCUUCGUUGCUUAGUGUUGGGAGCCUACGGCAACGUAGCUCCUCAAAGUUAGUGGCGGAGUUGGUUCACACUCUAGACGUAGUAAUUUUUUAUCUCGCCUAUUAGUUGGACUAAUCCCCUGCCGUAAAACCCCCAAUUUAUCAAGGUUGACCUCGAAUCGGUUCAGACAAACUCGCUAAAUUGAAGCAUCUUAGUCAGCGAAGGAAAAGAAACCAACAGGGAUUGCCCUAGUAACGGCGAGUGAAGCGGCAACAGCUCAAAUUUGAAAUCUGGCCCUCGGGUCCGAGUUGUAAUUUGUAGAGGAUGCUUUUG
rnacentral:rRNA from 1 species